rnacentral:rRNA from 1 species
UACGGAGGGUGCAAGCGUUGUCCGGAAUCACUGGGCGUAAAGGGCGCGUAGGCGGCUCGGUAAGUAGGGGGUGAAAUCCUGCGGCUUAACCGCAGGGCUGCCUUCUAAACUGUCGAGCUUGAGCACGGUAGAGGCAGAUGGGAUUCCCGGUGUAGCGGUGGAAUGCGUAGAGAUCGGGAAGAACAUCAGUGGCGAAGGCGGUCUGCUGGGCCGUUGCUGACGCUGAGGCGCGACAGCGUGGGGAGCAAACAGG